UACGUAGGGGGCAAGCGUUGUCCGGAAUCAUUGGGCGUAAAGCGCGUGUAGGCGGCUCGGUAAGUCCGCUCUGAAAGUCCAGGGCUCAACCCUGGGAUGCGGGUGGAUACUGCCGAGCUCGAGUCCGGAAGAGGCGAGUGGAAUUCCUGGUGUAGCGGUGAAAUGCGCAGAUAUCAGGAGGAACACCGAUGGCGAAGGCAGCUCGCUGGGACGUGACUGACGCUGAGACGCGAAAGCGUGGGGAGCAAACAGG
rnacentral:rRNA from 1 species